rfam:Gregarina niphandrodes unplaced genomic scaffold scaffold00169, whole genome shotgun sequence.
GGCAGCUUGCCCGAGUGGUUAAGGGGGUAGACUAGAAAUCUACUGGGCUUUCCCCGCACUGGUUCAAAUCCAGUAGCUGUCG